AAUGAACGCUGGCGGCGUGCCUAACACAUGCAAGUCGGAUGUGCCGCAAGGUGCAUGGCCGACGGGUGAGUAACGCGUAGGGAAUCUACCUUUUUGUGGGGAAUAACGCUCCGAAAGGAGUGGUAAUACCGCAUGAGACCGUGAGCUGGGAUGUUCACGGUGAAACCUGGGGACCGCAAGGCCUGGGGCAAAAAGAGGAUCCUGCGUCUGAUUAGCUAGUUGGCGGGGUAAUGGCCCACCAAGGCGACGAUCAGUAGCCGGCCUGAGAGGGUGAUCGGCCACACUGGAACUGAGACACGGUCCAGACUCCUACGGGAGGCAGCAGUGGGGAAUUUUGCGCAAUGGACGAAAGUCUGACGCAGCAACGCCGCGUGGGUGAUGAAGGUCUUCGGACUGUAAAACCCUGUCGUCAGGGACGAAGGUGGCAGUGUUAAUAGCGCUGUUACUUGACGGUACCUGGAGAGGAAGCCCCGGCUAACUCGGUG
rnacentral:rRNA from 1 species